GAUGAACGCUGGCGGCGUGCCUAAUACAAGCAAGUCGAGCGAACGGACGAGAAGCUUGCUUCUCUGAUGUUAGCGGCGGACGGGUGAGUAACACGUGGAUAACCUACCUAUAAGACUGGGAUAACUUCGGGAAACCGGAGCUAAUACCGGAUAAUAUUUUGAACCGCAUGGUUCAAAAGUGAAAGACGGUCUUGCUGUCACUUAUAGAUGGAUCCGCGCUGCAUUAGCUAGUUGGUAAGGUAACGGCUUACCAAGGCAACGAUGCAUAGCCGACCUGAGAGGGUGAUCGGCCACACUGGAACUGGGACACGGUCCAGACUCCUACGGGAGGCAGCAGUAGGGAAUCUUCCGCAAUGGGCGAAAGCCUGACGGAGCAACGCCGCGUGAGUGAUGAAGGUCUUCGGAUCGUAAAACUCUGUUAUUAGGGAAGAACAUAUGUGUAAGUAACUGUGCACAUCUUGACGGUACCUAAUCAGAAAGCCACGGCUAACUACGUG
rnacentral:rRNA from 1 species